CGCCCAGACCCACGCACCCCACCUCCACCCACGCACCCCCAGCUCCUCGCAACCCCCGGCCGCCUCCCCGAUCCAAACACCCAUGGGCAGCCGGAUCCAGUCCACCGCGACGCCUCGAUGCUGGAUCCGGGACGGCACCGCCACCCGCCGCUUAGCCACGUGCCCCCUGACUGGCCUUCUUCCAGAGGCCCGACGACACGCCGUCACAGCAAGCCCUCCCCGCCACCUCCUUCCCCAUAUUCCUCAACCGGACGUCGCCAUGGCGGGCGACGCUCUGCUCUCCACCAGCAAUCCCACCCUAUCCCUGCCUAUCCUGCACCUGGUGCGCCGCGUCAACCCGCCGCCGGCCCGUGCUCGCGCCGCCCCGCCGCCUCUCACCUCCCACCGCACCUACCUUCCCGCCUUCGACCCACCCCGUCGCCCAUCCCCCACGCCCGGGUCGCCCUCAUCCCCGAUUUGGAUCGAGCCGCCGCCGCCGCCGGUCCACUCUUCCUGGCCUACCUUCCCUCCUCCAUCCUCAGGAUGGCGACGAGCCGUAGUGACUCUGCCUCGUCGUUAAUGUACCUCUCGCCCUACCCACAGAUCGAGCCAACCCCGGGCCAAGAAAACUACUCCACCGGCGCCCUCUAAGGAUUCACUUGUUUUGUUCGAGCUUUUGGCUUGUCUGCUGGUCAACGGCGGCGGAUUGGUUGUGCCUCGCCGGCGUACUCCACCGGUCCAGCUGCGAGCAGCAGUUCCGUUGCUGGGGCGUGCAGCUCGACCAUCUCACAAAUGCAGUUCGCUGGAUGCAUUUUUGUGUGAUGCCGCAGGGAUGUAAUUCUUUAUGUGUUCUUGUGUCCUCGGCGAGUGCGCUUUUGCCUCCACUGAAGUGUGUUGGUCAUCGGUCGAUGAUGGUCCCAGCCACGUUCGUGGGUGCCGGGCCAAUGCGGAUCUCCGGCGACGCAUGUCGCAGUGCACCUCGCCGUGUGGUGCAGUUCCUUGCACAGUGCCCUCCUUGUAGUUCCUGAACAAUGCCCCCAACCUUUUUUGUGUGUGCAGUUUCCCGGUGCCAGCAGAAGCCAGGAGUGCAGGUGCAGUUUGGUGGCUGGGCAUGCAGUUCGAUAGCGGGGAUGGGUGAUAAUGUAUCAUGUUCUGUGUAAUUUGUUUGUGCAGUGUGAUGCAUGGGUGUAUGAAGUUGUAAUGUGAUAAUUUUGGGGAAAAUGUAGCUCGCUAGCUUCGUCUCAGGAGCCCAGACAAUUAGCGACCGCAGUUUUCAAAGAAAAAGUGUGUUAAUUAGAUGAAAAGGAAAAAGGGAACAUUAAGGAGGAGCUCUACUUUUGUAAGAUUGUAAUUCUCUUCAUCCUCUCAUCUUUUUUUGCGGCCAUAUUGGGGUUAGAAGAAAUGUUUGCUUGAUUGCAAUUUGUUUCACUUUGUAAAAAAAGGAAAACCCCACAAGAGGUUCACUUCUUUUUCUGAUGCAAUUUGUUUUGUUUGUGGGACGAUUGAAAAAAGUAGUUCACUCCA